rnacentral:rRNA from 2 species
AGUCGACGGCAGCACGGGGGCAACCCUGGUGGCGAGUGGCGAACGGGUGAGUAAUACAUCGGAACGUGUCCUGUAGUGGGGGAUAGCCCGGCGAAAGCCGGAUUAAUACCGCAUACGCUCUACGGAGGAAAGGGGGGGAUCUUAGGACCUCCCGCUACAGGGGCGGCCGAUGGCAGAUUAGCUAGUUGGUGGGGUAAAGGCCUACCAAGGCGACGAUCUGUAGCUGGUCUGAGAGGACGACCAGCCACACUGGGACUGAGACACGGCCCAGACUCCUACGGGAGGCAGCAGUGGGGAAUUUUGGACAAUGGGGGCAACCCUGAUCCAGCAAUGCCGCGUGUGUGAAGAAGGCCUUCGGGUUGUAAAGCACUUUUGUCCGGAAAGAAAACGCCGUGGUUAAUACCCGUGGCGGAUGACGGUACCGGAAGAAUAAGCACCGGCUAACUACGUGCCAGCAGCCGCGGUAAUACGUAGGGUGCAAGCGUUAAUCGGAAUUACUGGGCGUAAAGCGUGCGCAGGCGGUCCGCUAAGACAGAUGUGAAAUCCCCGGGCUUAACCUGGGAACUGCAUUUGUGACUGGCGGGCUAGAGUAUGGCAGAGGGGGGUAGAAUUCCACGUGUAGCAGUGAAAUGCGUAGAGAUGUGGAGGAAUACCGAUGGCGAAGGCAGCCCCCUGGGCCAAUACUGA